GGGGGAACCAUGUUUAUACCACCCACCUCCGACACUUCACCUACACUGUGGACAGAUGCCGCAGCUAACACAGGCUUUGCGGCCAUCCAGGGUGAUCAAUGGCUUUGGGGACCUUGGCCGACCGAAGUCAAAUCACGACCAAAAUUCUCUGAUACCUCGGCUUUAUUUGAGUUGUACCCGAUCAUGGCGGCAGCCAUUGCUUGGGGAACAUAUUGGUCUGGCCACACGGUCAGGUGCUACUCAG